rnacentral:lncRNA from 1 species
CUUCUGUUUAGCCUCAUAAAAUAUUGUAUUAUUUUCAACAACUGUUUACACAUAAAUCAAUGUGAACAUGACCCAUAGGAAACUCAGCAGCAAGUGUGCAUCCAGGGAUAUGAAAGGGCCACAGGGCUACUGCAAGAUGAAGACAGGGAGGCUCCAGCCGUGCAUCACACCAUGGUCUGCCCCUUCCCUGCCAAUUACAGCAUCUCCUCUAAGCUGCACAGAAACCUGGGAGGGAGGCUUUGAGAGCUUAGUGACUUGCCCCAGCUCACCCAGCCUGGAGUGACAGGGCAUGGACCAGGCCCCUGACAUCCUGACCUCAGCCUUUCCUCAACCCGGUCAGGCUGGCUGCAUAGGGUGGACCCGAGAUCUUCAGGCCUCGGCAGCCUGGCCCAGCAGGAAGACAUUGAAGCUCACCAGGAGGUGGCAGGGAGUGUCCCUGGGGGAAGCUGCUGAGGCCAGUGCUCAGGAAGGAACCAGGGCUCUGUCUGAGGACCAAUUCCAUCCGGGCCUGGUAAGGGACAUGUGGCUGUCCAGUGUGAAUGUUCUGUGCUUGUAUAUUUCAGCCUAAAUUCCCAGUUCUUUGGCAACCUGAAUACUGAACGUUUUCAGAGUAGUUUUUCUCCCAAGGCGUUUGUUCUGGAUCACUAGUGUCUGGUAUAUAUCAUUUUUGAUUCAACAUAUUUAAAACUCAUUUCCCCCCCAGACAAGACAAAUAGAAUUUGUAGCUUUCCAUAUGGGCUUUUCAAAAAGAUUGGUACUGGGAGCCAUUGGCUUCCCGGAGUGGUGUCAUUUGAUUAGCCCUGGUGUUCUUCCACUUACGGGGAGUGGGUAAUUGCAGUUGUUCCAAGUGGGAGAUGGUGUGAUUGGGUUUUUCUCCUAUGGGGAAAAACAAAUCCUAUCAGAUAGAUGAGUUUCUGGCAUUUCCUAUUCUUCUUUGUGACAGGAUCUUCCAGAAUAGAAGUCUCCCAGCAGUGCACAUCCAGGAAGCAUCCAGGCCAGGUUGGGCAGGGUUUAAUAAGCGCUGGGCCUUUCACCUGGAUGCUGGGAAGGUGCUUGGAUCUAUGAAAACCCCAGGGUGGGGUCAGGGGCCAAUGCAGAGGUUUCCCAGAGAGCUCUGGGGCUGGGUCACUUCCCCACUGGCCAGUCUGUCAUGCUGAAUGCCCAGGACUUCCACAAUGAGUCCCAGAGGUGAGAUGACAGGGUCAGGGUCAGGGCCCACUUCUGCAGGAGUUGCCACUUACCUUGUUUGUUAGGACACAGGCAGAGUGUUGGAACAGAGAGGAUUGCCUGGAGGUUCCUAGGACCACAGCAAGAGGUGUUGUGGGGGGCUUCCCGGCUUCCCGGAGGCCCUUCUUCCCAUGACAGGAGGGACAGUGGAGAUAGCACCUACUCUGGUGACCUUGCUCUCUGCUUUUGUCUUGUGACCUGCUUGUGGGUGAGCCCUACCCCUUGGUUUCCACGUGACCCAUAAAGUCUACUCAUUUUCUGUCCAGGGUUCAGGCACAGAGAGAAAAGGCAAGGAUGUGGAGGGAGAGGAGAGUCCCUGGAAGGAAUGUCCCCAGCAUAUCAGCCUGGAGUUUCCAUUCAGGAAAUUUCCCCAGCUCCCCAGACCCUCCCAGACUUGCCUCCUCCCUCCUGACAAAGCCCCAGCCCUACCCAUAGCCCCAGCCACCACCCCCUUUGAGGAGAGAAGGUGCUGGGUUGGGUGAGGAGCUCUGCGGGAGGACUGAACCAAGCUGUGGGCUCCUGGGCACCUGCCCAUGAGCCAGGCCUGCAUCUCCCAGACCUGCUUGUGGGUGAGCCUGCAUGCUGACAUGCUUGGCUGGGCUCUAGCCUUGGCUAUUGGUGGCCCAGGGUGUGUGUGUGUGUGCGUGCAUGUGUGUGUGUGUCCCUUUGGAGCUAUGUAGUUUGUGUACCAAAAUAAGAAGGGAGCUGGGGAGUUGAGCCCUGAUGAACUUUGUAACAAUAAAGCCUUAUCUUGUUAAAUAAAUCAAGCCUUGAAUAAAUG